UGGUAGUAAAGAAGUUCAGCCCAAUAGAUUAUCUGGAGACAUUAGGUUGAGUUCAAAACACAAAGAUUAAUUAAGAAACUAGAACAUCACAUACUAAGGGAGAGACCUGGAACAACAUACCCAAACAGGCACUAGCCUUCAACAACAACUGAACAAUUCUGACUGACUCUUAACUGACAAAAAGAACUUAACUGACUCUUAACUGACAAAAAUGUUAAACCUAUUAACAUGACUCAUGCCUCUAGUGGCCAGAAGAGCUUACUGCAGUGCUAAGAGCAAUGCUUCAGAAUGAUCAUUUCUAACAUUUUACAGGAUCAUUUCCCCUGAGAGGAAAGAUUACAGGAAACUUAUACUAUAUUACACACUUAUUUACUAACAUAUAAGCUGAGCAUAGGACAACCACCCAUAUAGACAGUGCUAGUCUAUUAAAGUGAUAGCAGUUUUCCCCAAAGCAAAUCGUAUGCCUUAGCAGGCAGCAGCAAAACUCAGAUGUCUGCCUCCUUUGUUGGCUUCAUUCCAACUCCAAACUAUUUCUCCCUAGCCAUACAUCCUAUAUUGCAGAUGGGGCAGAAACACAACACAUUAAGAUCUCUCAACAAACAGGACUGUAUUCACAUCAGCAUGCUAUGUUUUGCGGGCCUGAUCCUGAUAACCUUCAUAUUUCGGGGUUACACUGACCUAAGCAGCCUGUUGAACUGCCAAGACAAUUGACACAGAGCAAGGUUUGCAGAAGGAAGGUUUAUGUGAAGUGUAUGUUACAUUUUAUCCAUUUAAUUGUAUUUUGUUGUAAACUUCUAACACUUUAACAUGGAGAUUUCAGAUGCA